ACCUGCUCUGAUACCAUGUUGUGA
rnacentral:miRNA from 1 species